UCCGUUCUCUCUCCCUGCUCCCUGUGGGGUGCUGGCACCUUUGGUGCUCCUAUGGGCAUCUCCCUGAUGCCUGCUUUCGUCUUCAGAUGGCGCUGUCCCUGUGUGCAGGUGUGGGUUCCCAGUUCCCCUCUUCAUAAGGACACAGUCAUAUUGGAUUAAGGCUCACCCCAAGGAUUCCAUCUGAAUUACAUCUGCAACUGAUCCUAUUUCCAAAGAAGGUCACUUUCUGAGGUGGUCCCUGCAUCUGGAGAGCCCCUCGUGUGGGCUGGGGGGUUGCGUUGCUAACGGGCUCCUGAGCCUAGAGAAGCAGAGGCCGAGGAGCGCAUCGCAGGCAGGCGUGGCAGGUCUUGGAUCUGAGUGGUGCAGACAUCUUGCUCCGAGGGGCCACAGUUCUGCAACAGUUAGGUAUUAGCUGGGCAAGGAGUCUGAAGCCCUCUGGCCCCAGCAGGUUAACUCUCCGCAGGAAGAGGCUAAGUCCUCCUUCCUUUCCCCUAACCUCGCUCCUGCCCCUCCAGUGCCAGGCCCAUGGUAAGUGCCUGCAAGUAUCUGUGGACUGAAUGAAUGAAAGCAUGCUGGUCUCA